rnacentral:misc_RNA from 1 species
GAUGAAGAACGCAGCGAAAUGCGAUACUUGGUAUGAAUUGCAGAAUCCCGUGAACCAUCGAGUCUUUGAACGCAAGUUGCGCCCGAAGCCAUUAGGCCGAGGGCACGCCUGCCUGGGCGUCACACGUCGUUGCCCCCCCAUCUACUCCUUCGGGAUUGCGGGGGGCGGAUGAUGGCCUCCCGUGCGCCUCGUCGCGCGGUUGGCAUAAAUGCCAAGUCCUCGGCGACGCACGCCACGACAAUCGGUGGUUGCGAAACCUCGGUUGCCCGUCGUGUGCGGUCGUCGCGCAUCGAGGGCUCGAAAAAAUUGUCGGGCUCCGGCUCGGCUUUCAACGCGACCCCAGGUCAGGCGGGGUUACCCGCUGAAUUUAAGCAUAUCAUAAGCGGAGGA